AUGCAAGUCGAACGAGAUUAAGAAGCUUGCUUCUUAUGAAAGUGGCGCACGGGUGCGUAACGCGUAUGCAACCUACCUUAAUCAGGGGGAUAGCCCGAAGAAAUUCGGAUUAAGACCGCAUAAAAACACAGGAUAGCAUUAUCCAAUGUUCAAAUAUUUAUAGGAUUAAGAUGGGCAUGCGUGUCAUUAGCUAGUUGGCGGGGUAACGGCCCACCAAGGCGACGAUGACUAGGGGAUCUGAGAGGAUGACCCCCCACACUGGUACUGAGACACGGACCAGAUUCCUACGGGAGGCAGCAGUAAGGAAUAUUGGUCAAUGGAGGGAACUCUGAACCAGCCAUGCCGCGUGCAGGAAGACAGCCCUCUGGGUCGUAAACUGCUUUUAUUCGGGAAUAAACCUUAUUACGUGUAAUAAGCUGAAUGUACCGAAGGAAUAAGGAUCGGCUAACUCCGUGCCAGCAGCCGCGGUAAUACGGAGGAUCCAAGCGUUAUCCGGAUUUAUUGGGUUUAAAGGGUGCGUAGGCGGCUUAUUAAGUCAGGGGUGAAAGACGGUGGCUCAACCAUCGCAGUGCCCUUGAUACUGAUGAGCUUGAAUACACUAGAGGUAGGCGGAAUGUGACAAGUAGCGGUGAAAUGCAUAGAUAUGUCACAGAACACCGAUUGCGAAGGCAGCUUACUAUGGUGUUAUUGACGCUGAGGCACGAAAGCGUGGGGAUCAAACAGGAUUAGAUACCCUGGUAGUCCACGCCCUAAACGAUGAAUACUCGCUGUUAGCGAUAUACAGUUAGCGGCUAAGCGAAAGCGUUAAGUAUUCCACCUGGGGAGUACGCCCGCAAGGGUGAA
rnacentral:rRNA from 1 species